rnacentral:lncRNA from 1 species
CCGGGACUGCAAGGACCUAGAUAUCGGUGAGGGAGGGAGCGGGAAUGGCGGCUGAUGGCUUCCCCCAAUUAUCUGUAGACAUAAUCAUCAUAAUUUCAGUGGCAUAAAUUAUGGGCUUUGCGGGAAGAUGAAAAGAUAAUAUGCCGAGUAAAAAGUAGAAUACCUACGCUAAACAUUGCUCCCUUUCUUGGAAUGGACGGCCCGAGAACCCUUGCUAGUAGAAUUGCCAUGUGGCACGUCAAAGAUUCGCAUGUCUGGGGGUAAGGAGAGCCGAAGGCGGACGGGACGAGGGAGAGGGAAUGCGGCGAGGGAAUACAAAAAAACAAGAAAUGAACAAGUACGUAACAGCCGCAUUGCAUUGAGCAUUCCCUCCCUUUCCCCCCCUCCCUUGCAUACCAAUAUCCGCAAAUCAGCCAGCUCUCCGCUAAACCUCGUCAAUGCCGCCGCCAGGCCGGCGGCAAACUUUAUUCCAGCUUCACGUCAGCAGUUCUUUUCUACUUUUCCGCCGCCUCUACACCUACCUUUUUUACGGCUUGGCAUUACUGCUUUUCUUCCGCGCUUGUUUAGUCCUGGCGGCUAGGUAGGUAGGUUUCCGACAUCUUCUUCACUACAUCAUCCCGAGGUCGCCACCUUCAAGAAGCCUCUUGGUCAGUUCUACUCCUGGUACACUCUUGCCCUGGCAGCAGCUUCACUCGUUCACGUGGUUCG